AUGCUAACGCAAUGUGAU
rnacentral:snRNA from 1 species